UACGAAGGGGGAGCUAGCGUUGCUCGGAAUCACUGGGCGUAAAGGGUGCGUAGGCGGGUUUUUAAGUCAGGGGUGAAAUCCUGGAGCUCAACUCCAGAACUGCCUUUGAUACUGAAGAUCUUGAGUCCGGGAGAGGUGAGUGGAACUGCGAGUGUAGAGGUGAAAUUCGUAGAUAUUCGCAAGAACACCAGUGGCGAAGGCGGCUCACUGGCCCGGUACUGACGCUGAGACGCGAAAGCGUGGGGAGCGAACAGG
rnacentral:rRNA from 1 species